GCUGUGUAUGUGAUUGGAGCAGAGAGAGGCCAGGACCCAAGGAAAUCCCAGCAGCAAGGGAAAAAAAACAGAUUGACUCUCAGUGACUCAUUUAGCUCCUGGAUUGGACAGAUCUCUCCCCUGCUGGCAAUUUGGCUGAGCUUCAAUGGACAGAUACCAGGAUGAAUAGCUUAAAAUAAUUAGGGGUUGGGAAUCUGCAAAACUGCUAGCCAUCCAAUUCUUUACUGUGCAAUGUGAGGCAGAAAAAAGAAAUUACAUUUAGGUUAUUAAAUAUUAAGUCACUGGAUUUACCUCCAUUUGGUCCAGAACAGGAAACUGGAUAAAAUUCAACAUUUAUAUCAUUGUGAUGAUGGCCUGUUUAUCACUGAACAAAUGAGAGUUUUUUGGCAGGUCACGCUCUUUGACACAUGAAGCGAACGUGUGCUUAAUUUCUCCCAAACAGAAGAAUUAAUAUAAUAAUAAUUAACGCAGAUGAGAACAAAAUUAAAAUCAAGUACAGUCAAGAGUUCAAUUUUAUGCCAAAAGUCUAAAAUUUUAUAUGUUCUGGGGCCAGAUUUUUUGCUGUUGAAGAUGGUGAGGAUUUUGCCAUAGACAUUAAUGGGAGCAGGAGUAGGCCUUGAAUGUAGAGAGACAGGAUUCCCUGUGCUUUCCAUUUGAUGCUCAAAAACAGAAGCAACAGGCUCAUUGAGUAUCAGUAAAGGUCAGUUAAAAUUAUAGAGACAUCCUUUGGAGCAAAUCCUCUGCCUUGUAUUUGCAUAUUUAUGAAGUAGAGAUUACGACAGGCCAUUCCAUUUAUUAGAGYAGCGUCGCUAUAGUUAAUAGUCUGUCAGUAUUUCCAUUAUAAACCCUGUUUUUCAGUGUUUUAAUAUCUCAGCCAUUUAAAAUCACAUCAGGAAGCAAGUUGGCCCUCACGUUGUCAGACCAGGGUAGAAGGGAAAAGAGGAAUUUGGCCAAUUGUGUCCACCAAGGCACCACAUUUUAUGAACACUUUCCCAGGCAGCUGCUCCCUGAAGAAACAUGUUUGCCUCAUGGAAAGACAAACAGCAACCACAUAAGCACAUGGAGCUACUGGCAUAGCUGGAGUAGCUGGAGAUGGGAGCACACUCCAUGUUUUCCAUCCCUGCUGCCAGAAAGGUCUGUGUGCACAACUAGAGGAAGGUCAGGCCAGAAGCACCAUGGAAACACCAGACAGUUCUUGGUGACUGGUGUGCUUUCACCAUUUGGAUUCAAGCACAUUAAAGGAUUUGAGGAAAGCUCUUCAGUGCUGUAGACAGUGAAAAAUGAAUGUGAUCUGUCCAGAUGACUUACAGGGGUGUAUCAUGCAUUUUCAGACACUUCCAGGUACCUGGAAUAGGAAUGUUUCCUUUGCAAGUGACAGGGACAUGCCAAGGCACCAGCAGAGCAGUGAGGAAGAAGAGCUUUCAGAGUGAACCAAGAGUUAACUGGCUACAUUUCAGCUGUCACCACUGUCUUACAUCUACAUAGCGAGCGAGAGCACAAGAGAGCCAGGGACAUGUAAAUGCUUCAGAAAAGUAAGAUUUUUUGUAAGAAUCCAAUGGACAGGACCACCCACAUGCCUUGGAGUUGGGCAUUCUAGAAACACAGCAGGAAGCUGUCCUCUACUGAAAGAGAGUCACGAUGCACCUGAAGAAUUGUAGUAAUAAGCCAGUUGAGGAGGCUUUUCAGGAUGGACCCAUGGAGACUACAGCCAUUUGACUGGAUCAAUAGCUCAUUUUUGAGGAACUGAAGAUCAGAAUUGGAAUAAUAAUUAGUGAUUUAAUGGUCAAAAAAUCCUGCGAAAGUACACCGUCAAAACUUUAAAGAACUGAAGAAGCAUGAAGGGAAGUCAAAUUACUUCCCUGCAGGAGCGGCCCAAAAGAGAAGAAAUUGAGCCUGUCCCUGUAGCUUGAGUGAGUGGAUUGGGAAAAAAAGACCAAAUCCUGAUUGUGCUAUGGAAGAACAAGGCCUGAAAAGAGGGAAUAUUGGUGACAGCAGCAUUCUCAUUUCCCUGGAUUUAUUUGUGUUCUUGUGCAUUGCUAUGUUGCACAUGUCUACAGAAGUUGGACUGUGUCAGCUCUCUCCAGGCAAACUGUAGUCUGUUUGGCCGUUGUGUAAAAGCGAAAAAAAAGUCAUUGCCACACACAGGAUAAACAAACAAAACCCACAUGAUUUGGCCAGAAAGUCACCCUAAUAUGAAGCUAUUUGCAUCUUCAGGAGCUUUGAGGGGCUGUAGAAAAAACUGUCUAUAGCUGCCUUGGUGUUGUCUGUCAAGGAUGUCCAGCUCGCAGUCCUGGCUCAUGGGACAAUAUCCUGAACUAUUUUAGACACCCUCUGGUCACUGCCCAUCAGUGGGGUUUUGUCCAUGGACUGCUGCCUUCCAUGAGAGAUGUCAUCCUGCAGUUUUUCUUCAACUCAUGAGUUUAGAUCAUGAGACAACUACUCCUUGGUAGCUGGCUGUUCGAAGGGAAGAGCUGGCUUUGCUUUUGAGCUCAUGGCCUAGAAAUGGAGACCCUUGCAGGCCCCAGACAGGAGGCAGAAGGCAGAACCUGUCCAAGGCGAAGUCCCUGCAGGCCCAGGGAAGAGG